AGAGUUUGAUCCUGGCUCAGGAUGAACGCUAGCGGCAGGCCUAACACAUGCAAGUCGAGGGGCAGCAUAUCACUUCGGUGAUGAUGGCGACCGGCGCACGGGUGAGUAUCGCGUUUGCAACCUACCCUUAACUGGGGAAUAGCCCGAAGAAAUUCGGAUUAAUACCCUAUAAUAUUUAAGAACGGCAUCGUUUUUUUAUUAAAGCUCUGGCGGUUAAGGAUGGGCAUGCGUGACAUUAGUUUGUUGGUGAGGUAACGGCUCACCAAGACUACGAUGUCUAGGGGGUCUGAGAGGAUGAUCCCCCACACUGGUACUGAGACACGGACCAGACUCCUACGGGAGGCAGCAGUGAGGAAUAUUGGGCAAUGGACGCAAGUCUGACCCAGCCAUGCCGCGUGCAGGAUGACGGCGCUAUGCGUUGUAAACUGCUUUUAUACAGGAAGAAAUCCUCCUACGUGUAGGGGGUUGACUGUACUGUAAGAAUAAGCAUCGCUAACU
rnacentral:rRNA from 1 species